AAGACUUUACUCUCAGGGAUCAUUUCUUUAGUUGUUGACUUGAGGAAUGUGUUUCUAAAGAGUUUGGUCUCGCUGCCCACGAUGAAGAGAGAAGAUGUUUCCUUCAGAGCAGGAAACUGGUGAGAAGACUUUGUUUCUUCUUCUUCACUGUUGAAGACUGUUCAGAGUUUCUGACAGACUCUGAAGGAGGAAACAUCAUCUGAGUGGAC
ensembl:snoRNA small nucleolar RNA U3